UACGGAGGGUGCGAGCGUUGUCCGGAAUCACUGGGCGUAAAGGGCGCGUAGGCGGUGCGGUAAGUCUGCAGUGAAAUCUCUGGGCUCAACUCAGAGUCUGCUGUAGAAACUGCCGUGCUUGAGUGUGGGAGAGGUGAGUGGAAUUCCAGGUGUAGCGGUGAAAUGCGUAGAUAUCUGGAGGAACACCGGUGGCGAAGGCGGCAUCCUGGACCAACACUGACGCUGAGGAGCGAAAGCCAGGGGAGCAAAGCGGG
rnacentral:rRNA from 1 species